CAAACAUCUAAAUACUCUUCUGAAAUCAUUCAUAUAAUGAUAGCAGGCAUCUGCAAAAGCUUCAAAUUACUGUUGUUGCACAAGGUUUGCUUUCCUAUUUCCGGUAAAAUAAUGUUCUUUCUCUUCCUUCUUUCAAUCAAUAAGAAACUAUCAUCUGAAGAAGGAUAAACAGCAAAGAAAAACCUUAAAUAUACCGUAACCAGUAUAACAAAGCAUUAUUUUAUGAAAGAAUCUAGUAUUUCAUUGCAACAAGAGAUACAAUCAGAAAGGACUUUCUUAUACUUCAGUCUCCAUUGGACGGCUAAUUUCCACCUAUCCAUGGACCUUCUUGCUUUUCUAGAUAAUAUUACGCCAGUGAAACUAUGUGCAUCUUUCAUAUCAUGUGCAUCUAAGAAGGUAUAGAUCUCAUCCCUGGAAGACAUAGGUUUUGUGAUCUCCAUGAAAGUGAACAAAUCUUGGCUACUGUGCAUUGCAUUCAAGAGCAAGGUGUCUUCAUCAAUAGAUGUCGGCAGAUUUUUUAACACAGUCGCACAAAUUUUGGACAGCCAUUUCGUGAUGAAAAUUUCAUUGUCUGCUGACAGCUGGGAACCAGAAUACACAAGAUGUCCGACAGACUUCCUUUUGCUUUGAGGGGUUGCCCACAACCGCAAUGCAGCAAGUAGUGCAAACGAAGGCUUCCCAUUAUGAUGGAUAUAGAGUGAUUCCAUAGGCCAUGAAGUGGAAAAAUAUAUAGCUGGUUCCAAAGGGAUAAAAACCUUGUCAUUUGGAUUUUCCUGCAGGAGAAAGCCGUAGUGUUCAAGAAGCUCCAAAUUUGUGUAAGUUCCAUAGCAUAAUAGAACCUGGUAAAGAUAAAGUAAUUAGUAAUUCUCUAUUUACUAAACAAUGGAAUGUAGAGACUGAAAACAGAUAUGGUACUAGUGACCACUUGAAAAUAUUCAAAGGGAAGUAGGAUUAGAAAAAUUAGUCCCUGCAAAAUUGAAUAAUUUACAGGAGACAAGCAAGUAACUUUGUUUAUAGAAUUUUAGUUCCAGGUAAGAUUUAUGAUAAAUUACAUUUAUAUUUAUUGAGAAAAGAAAUCAGUAACAUUCACACUCUGAAUUGGAUAUGUAAACCAAACAGAAGCUACGUUUACUGCUCCAUAUCCUAAAUAUAAUCCUAUCUUGAGAAGGGCCUUAUGCAUUGCAUAAUACUACUGAAUACGAACAUCCACCGGUAGUUUGCCCGAGCUUAAAGCCACAUAGCCGGGUAAUUUUGUUCUCAUCAUUUUAAAAGCUGUAGUUCUAAAGGCUGUGUACAAAUCUAGUGUACAGUUUGUCCAAUCCCAAUUUUUUAUUCAAUUAACUUAGACAUAAGACAAUAGCAAUUUCUUAGAAAUCCAAUCACAGUUGUAACUGAUAAGGGUUUCUAGACUUAGAUUGUGUGGUGAAGGCUUAACAUGUAUAGAGAGUUGAGUUGAAGUGCAGCAUGAUACCACUAAAUAUCUCCAAUAAGGGUUGGCUUAAUUGGUAGGAUCAUACUUUGUGAAAGAAAAGGACUUAUAUCUUGUUCCAACAAGUGAUCCUUUAUUUACGGGUAAUUUCUAAGUACAAUGGUAAGUUUGUGCCAAGAGUUAUGGCAGGCCUAACCUUGAAAUAAGGCAGCCUCCACUAAACUUCUUCACCAUGAAAUGGUACCACCAAGCAUCAUUGAUUCAAAGCAGUAUCCUAAUCAAAUAGAUACAAACAUAACAUCAAUGACUACAAAUUAUAUUCAAGUCAGGGACAAAUAAUCCAAACAGGACAAAGAAAAUGGACCCAAAAGCCUAAAAUGCAAUCAAUCAAUGAAAUUUUAAUUCAUGUUUUCUCACAUCUAGAAACUUAAACUAAUAUUUUAAUUCAAAUUAGUAACUAAAAUUUCCAGAAAUUGUUAAAUACCUGAUCGCCUUUCUUGUAAUGUGCUCUAGCAUAGAAGCAAUAUGCAUUACCAUCUUCCUCAAACCCACCAUCAGUUAAUCUUUGAGAAUGAGAAUCAAAUUGUUCUGCAUCUACCAUUAUAUUGUUGCCUCCAUUUAAUAAGUUUGGAUCGUGAAUGGAAGAGUUUGAUGGCAAAUGUUCUAAACCCUCAAUGUCAGAUGACUCCUCUCCAGGUGCAUCAUAAUUAAACAAGUCACCCACAGGGCAUAAACAUCCGGCUUCAUCCCAUGGUAUAUGCAAUGUUCGAGAAGAUAUCUACAUUUUUCAAAGUUCAAAUGUGACCAAAUCAUAGAGUGAGUGAUGAUUUACAUGAAGGCAGAAACUAUUUUAUCAACCAAAAAAAGUAAUCAAUAUUCAAUACAGUUAGUUAGCUUGUUUUUCUUAUCGAGGAAAUAGUUAAAGUAGCACACCUUAAAACAGAUUAGUGAAAAUAAGUCUGUCACAAUAGCAUGGAUGUAAGUACAUGUUAAGGCAAUAAAGUGUUUGUUGAUAAAUAAACAUCCAAAAUUAAAGAUGUUUUCAGUCCAUCCAAAAUUGAAUAUUUAUAAAUAAACUACUCUUAGCUGCCUAUAUCUCCUCUCAAAAGCCUGGUUUCUAACUGACUAACCGUUGCAGCAGCCCAAACCCAAGCCUUUAAAGUUAAAAACUGGGGCCUAAACAUGAGAUCUUCCAUCAAAGCAAGAGCUUCUUUCCACUCCGAUUUGGCCUUUAGUAUAGCUUUUUCAGUGACCCACACAGCUUCAUCCACCUAAUAAUCACAUCAAAAGUUAAUUCUUAUACAAAGUAUCAACGAUAAGCUGAUCAAUAUCAUAAGCCAAGAUGCUAUAAUCUAACCUAACAAGAUAAAAAAAUGUCAAACAGAAACUGAACUUGGAGAGCACGUUUCUCAAAUUCACCAAACAUCGCUAGUAUGUCAUAUGUGUGUGGCAAAUGCAUGAGGUAAGGAUGCCAUCUUGAAGUCUUCCCUUUACCCAUUUCAUACAACAAGCAAACGAUCAAUACACUGCUAAGAAAGAAACCUGAGCUGAGGAGAGACAAGAGUGUCUACUGACAGCAAAACAGAGCUUUUCAUCUUCCAUAACACUCUCUCUUGUCAUUAAAGCAGAUUUCGGAACUCUGAGAACGAUUUCCCCUCUCCUAAGGUCUCUCACAGCACCCAAACCUCUCCUGCAACAUUAUCCAAACAAUACACAAAAAAUGGGUAAAAUUUUGUUACCAGAAGCAAGUCAAAAGCAUCAACCUCUACAUUAUUAUUAGAGUCGGAUUAAUUAGCAAAGAAAAUACACAUCAAGAGUAAGAGGGCAAUAAUCAGCAUGUAACAAAAAGUCAUUAGUGCGAUAAAUCCAAUGCAAAGGUUAGAUUAACUAUGACGCACAUCCACGAUAAUUAGGGCAUAUAAGAAGGAUAUGUGAGUACCCGCCAGAGUGAGGAAAAUGAGCGACACAUAAAGAAGAACCCAAACAUGAGGAAGGAGAGUGUUGAGGUUGGUUGGUGGGUGCUGAUGAGUCUGAUAUUCCAAGUUGUGCUGCCCAUGUUAAGAAGCUUUCAAGGUUUUGUUGUUCCUGCUCCAUCUGCUGCUGAUCACCUUAACCUAGUUGCUUCCGAACCCAGCAAAGUUAACCUGUUCUUUUAGUUUCAUCUUGAUUUUU
rnacentral:sRNA from 1 species